rnacentral:rRNA from 1 species
AGUGAACGCUGGCGGUAGGCCUAACACAUGCAAGUCGAACGGCAGCACAGUAAGAGCUUGCUCUUACGGGUGGCGAGUGGCGGACGGGUGAGGAAUACAUCGGAAUCUACUUUUUCGUGGGGGAUAACGUAGGGAAACUUACGCUAAUACCGCAUACGACCUACGGGUGAAAGCAGUGGAUCUUCGGACCUUGCGCGAUUGAAUUAGCCGAUGUCGGAUUAGCUAGUUGGCGGGGUAAAUGCCCACCAAGGCGACGAUCCGUAGCUGGUCUGAGAGGAUGAUCAGCCACACUGGAACUGAGACACGGUCCAGACUCCUACGGGAGGCAGCAGUGGGGAAUAGUGGACAAUGGGCGCAAGCCUGAUCCAGCCAUACCGCGUGGGAGAAGAAGGCCUUCGGGUUGUAAAGCCCUUUUGUUGGGAAAGAAAAGCAGCAGGUUAAUACCCCGCUGUUCUGACGGUACCCAAAGAAUAAGCACCGGCUAACUUCGUG